rnacentral:rRNA from 1 species
GACGAACGCUGGCGGCGUGCUUAACACAUGCAAGUCGAACGCUGAAGCUCAGCUUUUGUUGGGUGGAUGAGUGGCGAACGGGUGAGUAACACGUGAGUAACCUGCCCCCUUCUUUGGGAUAACGCCCGGAAACGGGUGCUAAUACUGGAUAUUCACUGGUCUUCGCAUGGGGGUUGGUGGAAAGGGUUUUUCUGGUGGGGGAUGGGCUCGCGGCCUAUCAGCUUGUUGGUGGGGUGAUGGCCUACCAAGGCUUUGACGGGUAGCCGGCCUGAGAGGGUGACCGGUCACAUUGGGACUGAGAUACGGCCCAGACUACUACGGGAGGCAGCAGUGGGGAAUAUUGCACAAUGGGCGCAAGACUGAUGCAGCGACGCCGCGUGAGGGAUGGAGGCCUUCGGGUUGUGAACCUCUUUCGCUCAUGGUCAAGCCGCAACAAUGGUUGUGGUGAGGGUAGUGGGUAAAGAAGCGCCGGCUAACUACGUG